rnacentral:lncRNA from 1 species
UGUUCUUCCUUCCAUGGAUGCCCUUGUAGAUCUAUUGGUUUCAGCUGCCCCUGUUAAGAAGUUUGUUCCCUCAGAUAUCAUUAAAUAGCCACUUGUGUGUCAGAUCUCCUUAUGCACACCUGCAGUCUUGAAGCCUUCCAUGAAAGAUAACCUUAUGUUGUUAAAGAAGGUGACUUUUUUGUGUGUGAAGUAACUGCCUGGCUAUCAAAGGUAGGUCAGCCAUAUGGAAAACAGAACUUUGAGAAGUACAAUGCAUGCUAUGCUUCCACAGGAGUCCUAUUCAGCAGAUGGAGAAGCAAAGUUUGUCAACACACUGAGAGAUCAGUGCCAUCAUAUUAUCUAAAAUUUAAGGGUCAACACCUGGCACAGGCAAGAGUUGUGAGGAAAGGGAUAUGACAAGGAUACAAACA